rnacentral:rRNA from 1 species
UGGGGAAUUUUGGACAAUGGGCGAAAGCCUGAUCCAGCAAUGCCGCGUGUGUGAAGAAGGCCUUCGGGUUGUAAAGCACUUUUGUCCGGAAAGAAAUGGCUCUGGUUAAUACCUGGGGUCGAUGACGGUACCGGAAGAAUAAGGACCGGCUAACUACGUGCCAGCAGCCGCGGUAAUACGUAGGGUCCAAGCGUUAAUCGGAAUUACUGGGCGUAAAGCGUGCGCAGGCGGUUGUGCAAGACCGAUGUGAAAUCCCCGAGCUUAACUUGGGAAUUGCAUUGGUGACUGCACGGCUAGAGUGUGUCAGAGGGGGGUAGAAUUCCACGUGUAGCAGUGAAAUGCGUAGAGAUGUGGAGGAUUACCGAUGGCGAAGGCAGCCCCCUGGGAUAACACUGACGCUCAUGCACGAAAGCGUGGGGAGCAAACAGG